UGUGUGUGUGGACAGUUGUGAAGCUGCAAUGAGCUUCUGCAGCUCAAUCCCUCAUCAGUGGACCUCCUCAAAUAUCAUCUUCGAGAAGCAGCACAAAUAUGGAAACACAUCUGUAAUUUUCAGUUAUGGAUGGAUUAGCAUCUGAGAUGGGCCACCGAUGAGGACUACUAUAGUAAUAGCUGAAUAUUUUACUCCUGAAGUCUGCGAAAGGUACAUUUUUGCAACUCUCAAAAUAUACGUUGAUGUUGGAAAUCAUAUAACCGGUUAAACUGUCCAAAUGCCAUGCCUUGAGGAAAAGAAAGGAGCCAUUUUAACUGCUUCACUGUCCAUUAUUACUUUUGGUACGCGCUAGGCCAGACUCAAACUCGUACCGUGAGUAAUAAUGCACUGUGGCAGUGAGUUUAUCUGCGAGGACAAACUCAAGACAUGUUUGGAUGUAGAUCAACGUUACCACUUGGAUCGAUGGAUAAAGUAACACAUUUUUAGGCACUUUGUUUUGUCAUAUGAGACUGCAUUUGACAAAUGGACCAGCUGUCAUCUCAUUUGUUUUAUUUUAGGGGUGAAAUGAAGUAAAUUUGGUACAAAGAAAGAUGACAACUGGAUGUACAGAAGGGGUAUAUAACUGUAUAUUAAAUAUCACCUCCAGCUGAAAUCAAGAGUUUCACCUGCAGGGUUAUUAUUUAAUACUGUAUGUAAAUGCACUAUUAAAUGAAAUGUGAGAAAUGUGUUGAUGGCUGAACUUUGUUACAGGUUUGAGAGAUCAUUGGAUGUCUAACAGUCUUUUGCCUACUUUGUGUUAUCAUUUAUCUGCUUUUGUAAUAAAAAAAGAUCUUGUGUGAAAAAAACAGUUGCAAGUAAACAGGAAAAUGGUCAUGUAAAUCAGGUUUACUUUUAUAUUUUUUGUACACUAAAUAAAAAUGAUUGAUUAUCAA